GGGGAAUAUUGCACAAUGGAGGAAACUCUGAUGCAGCGACGCCGCGUGAACGAUGAAGGCCUUCGGGUCGUAAAGUUCUGUCCUAGGGGACGAUAAUGACGGUACCCUAGGAGGAAGCCCCGGCUAACUACGUGCCAGCAGCCGCGGUAAUACGUAGGGGGCGAGCGUUGUCCGGAAUUAUUGGGCGUAAAGGGUUCGUAGGCGGUUAUUUAAGUCAGGUGUGAAAGGCGCAGGCUCAACCUGUGUAAGCACUUGAAACUGGGUAACUUGAGUUAAGGAGAGGAAAGUGGAAUUCCUAGUGUAGCGGUGAAAUGCGUAGAUAUUAGGAGGAAUACCAGUGGCGAAGGCGACUUUCUGGACUUAUACUGACGCUGAGGAACGAAAGCGUGGGGAGCAAAC
rnacentral:rRNA from 1 species